rnacentral:rRNA from 1 species
AUUGAACGCUGGCGGCAGGCCUAACACAUGCAAGUCGAGCGGAUACAGGGAGCUUCUUCCUUGUUUCCGCGCGGGUGGCGGGCGUUAUGCCUAGGACUCUGCCAGGUCCUGGGGGAUAACGUUCCGUAACGGGCGCUAAUACCGCAUACGCCCUGCGUCGCAAAACGGGGGAUCUUUGCAUCCCACCCUCUUCCCUUCGCCUAGGUCGGAUUAGCUAGUUGGUGGGGUAAAGGCCUACCAAGGCGACGAUCCGUAACUGGUCUGAGAGGAUGAUCAGUCACACUGGAACUGAGACACGGUCCAGACUCCUACGGGAGGCAGCAGUGGGGAAUAUUGGACAAUGGGCGAAAGCCUGAUCCAGCCAUGCCGCGUGUGUGAAGAAGGUCUUCGGAUUGUAAAGCACUUUAAGUGGGGAGGAAGGGCAGUAAGUUAAUACCUUGCUGUUUUGACGUUACCAACAGAAUAAGCACCGGCUAACUUCGUG